UACAGAGGGGGCAAGCGUUGUUCGGAAUUACUGGGCGUAAAGGGCGCGUAGGCGGCCUUCUAAGUCGAACGUGAAAUCCCCGGGCUCAACCCGGGAACUGCGUCCGAUACUGGAAGGCUUGAAUCCGGGAGAGGGAUGUGGAAUUCCAGGUGUAGCGGUGAAAUUCGUAGAUAUUCGGAAGAACACCAGUGGCGAAGGCGGCUCACUGGACUGGUAUUGACGCUGAGGUGCGGAAGCGUGGGGAGCAAACAGG
rnacentral:rRNA from 1 species